UGGAUAUUAGUUAAUUAAAUAACAUUUAAAUUGCAUUUAAAAAUUAAUAAAAAUAUUAUAUCUAA
rnacentral:tRNA from 2 species